GAUGGUUCGAUUAGUCUUUCGCCCCUAUACCCAGUUCAUACGAUCGAUUUGCACGUCAGAAUCGCUACGGACCUCCAUCAGGGUUUCCCCUGACUUCAUCCUGACCAGGCAUAGUUCACCAUCUUUCGGGUCCCAGCGUGUACGCUCUUGGUGCGCCACAACUUGCAAUAAGUAUGCAACGCCCCGGGAAUGCGAGGUAACAUAAAUAACGUAACCCAUCUUCCCUUUAUAAAAUAUAAUG
rnacentral:rRNA from 1 species